UCAUCAUCAUCAUCAUCAGGAAAGUCCUGUCAAUCUAGUUGUCGGUCAAUAUAUCGAACUUGCCUAGUGAUAGAAGGCUAAUUCCUACACCAUUCUACUUCAACAGGGCAUGCGCAGGUCCUUGUCUCCUAGAAUCAUUCUUCAAAUAAGGAAGAAGUGAUGCUGUGACUGUUGGAUUGUCGUGCCAACUUCAUGUCGCCAUUUUGCUAAUCAAAGCCAUGUGCUUCAAAAGUUGGGCGUGGUCGCGCAUGCUCAGAUUAUUUGCUCUAAUUAUUCGUAAAUGUAAAAUUGAAAAAUUAAAUGGCUACAGAAUUGGACUCGGAAUUGGAACAGGUAAUGCUUCUUCAUUAAUGUUUUUAGAAGGACACUUCUUACUUGUCUAAGUCUUGCAGUGGCAAUUAUUGAGUUUGCAGUUUUAAUUCAUUGUUGAUGAAUAUUGGCAAUCAUGAGUCACCUUAUUAAAUGUUUAUUUUCUGUUUUAUAAUAAUUAUUAUUUGUAAUUACUCUAU